CAGCUGUCAUUGAUUAUGCCCAGAUGGGGACGCUGCCCCUCAGGGAGUUAAGUGACUUGCCCAGGAUCGUACAGGCAGAAGGUGAGCACUUCAGUCUGUCUCUCCAGAGGCAGUUCUGAGUUCUUUAGUCCCUAGUGCCCCAGGCCAUCAUCACCUCCUGCAGGAAGAAAUAACCAAGCCUGGGCCCACUGCAGGCCAGGUAGGGCUGGCAGGGAUUGGUUUAGCUUGGGGGACUCCUGAAGUAGACCAGUGAGCAAAGGGUUUGAUGUGGACACAGGCGGGCAGAGAGGCGCUCUGGAGAUUGGGGCCCAGGCCUUGCCCAGCUCUGGCUGCCACCUCUCUCUUCCUGGAACUCAGAGCCUCCAGGUCCCAGCCAUGCAGUGGGGCCUGGAGUAGACAACACCCACCCCCCCCCCCCCCGCCCCACCCAAGAGUUUAUGAGGGCAGACUGUGAGAACCAGCACUGCUACCCAGUGCCAUCCUCUUUCCAGUGGCUGUGACUGCGCCUUCUGACUUCUUCCCACCAAUAUUCUCCCUUACAAAAUAAACCCUCCGACCUGAGCCUCACUCUCCCGGUCACAGACUUCUCAGGAGUCCUCUACUCCGGCUGUCUCUGCUGCCUCACCUCCCAUCUCUCCUGUGUUCUGGUUUCAGGCUGUCCACACCAUGUCCCAGAAACAGCCCCCACCUAGUAACCUUUUCCCCGACUCCAGUGGACACUCCGCAGCUUUGACAGAUUUGCAGCCUCCAUCACAGCAGGAUGCUGCCUCUGCUUCUCUCCGGGAGUCUCACCUACGGGCUGACCAUGGAACAGAAAAGUCUGGCCAGACGGCGGCGGCGGCGGCGGCGGUGGCUUCUCCUCCGACGG